rnacentral:rRNA from 1 species
CCUACGGGAGGCAGCAGUGGGGAAUAUUGGACAAUGGGGGCAACCCUGAUCCAGCCAUGCCGCGUGUGUGAAGAAGGCCUUAGGGUUGUAAAGCACUUUCAGUGGGGAGAUGUUACCCACAGAAGAAGCACCGGCUAACUCCGUGCCAGCAGCCGCGGCAAUACGGAGGGUGCAAGCGUUAAUCGGAAUUACUGGGCGUAAAGCGCACGUAGGCGGUGAGUUAAGCCAGCUGUGAAAUCCCCGGGCUCAACCUGGGAAUUGCAGUUGGAACUGGCUCGCUAGAGUAUGGUAGAGGGGUGUGGAAUUUCAGGUGUAGCGGUGAAAUGCGUAGAUAUCUGAAGGAACAUCAGUGGCGAAGGCGACACCCUGGACCAAACUGACGCUGAGGUGCGAAAGCGUGGGGAGCAAACAGGAUUAGAUACCCCAGUAGUC